CACGUAGGGCGCAAGCGUUGUCCGGAAUUAUUGGGCGUAAAGAGCUCGUAGGCGGUCUGUUACGUCUGCUGUGAAAAUCCGGGGCUUAACCCUGGGCUUGCAGUGGAUACGGGUAGACUAGAGGCAGGUAGGGGAGAAUGGAAUUCCCGGUGUAGCGGUGAAAUGCGUAGAUAUCCGGAGGAACACCGGUGGCGAAGGCGGCUUCCUGGACCGACACUGACGCUGAGGCGCGAAAGCUAGGGGAGCAAACGGG
rnacentral:rRNA from 1 species